rnacentral:rRNA from 1 species
AACGAACGCUGGCGGCAGGCCUAACACAUGCAAGUCGAGUGAGCAUUUCGGUGCUAGCGGCGGACGGGUGAGUAACGCGUGGGAACGUGCCCUUUUCUGCGGAAUAGUCCUGGGAAACUGGGGGUAAUACCGCAUACGCCCUUUUGGGGAAAGAUUUAUCGGAGAAGGAUCGGCCCGCGUUGGAUUAGGUAGUUGGUGGGGUAAUGGCCCACCAAGCCGACGAUCCAUAGCUGGUUUGAGAGGAUGAUCAGCCACACUGGGACUGAGACACGGCCCAGACUCCUACGGGAGGCAGCAGUGGGGAAUCUUAGACAAUGGGGGCAACCCUGAUCUAGCCAUGCCGCGUGAGUGAUGAAGGCCUUAGGGUUGUAAAGCUCUUUCAGCUGGGAAGAUAAUGACGGUACCAGCAGAAGAAGCCCCGGCUAACUCCGUG